CCUGGUUUAUCAGGUAAACUAAGGAAUGCUUUCUGUAGGAACUAAAAACAAGGAGGGUAAACCCUAAUACUAACAUAAAGCAGAAAAAAAAUCCUUUUGAAGUAUUGCCCUGUGGAACUAGCUUAGACUAGUUUGGUCAGGUUUAGGAAGCUUUAGAAGACAGAGGACUUGAAAAUGCAGAGAAUCUCAGUUCUGACAUGAGAGAAAAGGCAUUUUACCUGCCUGAUCACUGACAGAUGUGAGACUGAGCAAGACAGACGCAAACGACCUAAAGGAUUUUGAUGUGGAAAAUAUGUGAUGAGCAGCUACAUAGGAGACAAAGCCUGCAUUCCUCAUAUAGCUGGUGUGGAGGCAGAGGGCCUGGAGACACACUACGGUAUGCAAGUAAGCCUGACUCCUUCAACACUCUAAAAGAUAUGGAAGAAUUGCAGUUCAUAGAUAUUUGGCUACUGAUUUAACCACUAAUGACAUGUAUGGUCUGCCUCCUUGGAAAAGUCUCUUCGCAGCUCCGUACUUUGAUUUCCCUCCUUGUAAAACUGACUACAGAUAUUUCUACCCCUUGUGAGACGGUUCAAGGAAGUUUCAGGAGAAGGAUGCUAUAUAACGAACAAAGAGACACAAGACAAAAAGCUGGGAAAGGAUCCUGGAAUGCAGGGACCGAUACUCAAUGGCUGCUGGGGAAGAGACAGACAGUUGCUCUCUGUUUGAGCCAUCCUUUGGUCAGAGCAGCAACACAAGGUGCUCCAAGCAAAAAGCAGGGAUCAGCUGCUCGAGCCAUAUCAGCUGCUGGAAAAGUCAAUCCCCAUACUAUCGAGUCCAUACAAAGUAAUUGCUGGCAGUCAUGUGCCUCCCAGCAGUGUGAUUACUUGGCAGUCUCCUGACCUAAACAGUUUCCUGUUUUGCCUAAGCCUAAAGCCAUCCCUGAAUCCAAAUUCCCAGUUUGGCAGAUGAUGGGACGAAUAGGUAUGACAAAGGCUCAGUGACAUUAUGGACAGGCCUAGAGUCAGGCUUUUGGGUGUCUAUGGGUCUCUACUAAUAGUGAUGUAAUGACAGAGGGAUGUAGCUAUCAACAGCAUAUGCAGCAAGUGAGGGAGAGCUGGAGGAUUCUGUGUAUAUACAUACAGCAUCAAUUAUUUCCUGCAUUCUUCUGUGGCUGUAGCUGUAUGUAACUUGUUGUAACUGGAAUGCAACUUUUUUUAUCUGAAAGCACUUAGGGCCAAUGCAUUGAUCCACAUGUAGCGGAAUGAAAACCAACCUUAAAAACAUAGUAAACAGCACCAAAUAUUUAUAAGUAUUUAAAAAUAUUGAUAAAUAAUUGAUCAACAGACAGAAGGAGCAUACAGAAAAUAAAUUCUUUGUAAGAAAUUCCACCUUUCGUAUGACUAGCAAAAGGUAGUAAACUUCUCAUGAAGUUCUGAUCAAUACCAAAACAGAGUGGCCACAUAUCAAUAGAAAACAAAACAAAACAAAACAAAACAAAAAAACAUUAGCUCAUUCUCUUCCCUCUCACUCUAAUAACCAUCCAGUCUGAGCUUAGAAGCACCAAUGAAUUUUAGUGUCUGUUGUCAAUCCAGCUUCCUUGCUCACUUGUAACCUGCAGGGCUCCUGGAAAUCAUUUCAAUGACACACCCAAAACAUAGGAAAUCUACCAUCCACAAUUCUUCACUUUCUUUCCCAGUCUUCCCCUUCCCUUCUGCACAUGCACCUACUUCUGUAUUUAUUUUCCCUGAAGAACAAAGUUGAGAAGAAGAAAUAAGACUUCUAAGAGAUGAGAUAUACAUAAAGAAAGGUAGGUUCAUGUGGCUUGGCCCUUCAGAACUGAUUCCAAGUUUCAAUAUAAACAAAUCUAUAGACCUUCUUACAGCAUCCAUUACAUAGUGCACCAGAGGAUAAAAGAUUUUUUUUUAAAAAAAACAUGUAUUUCCUUACUUCCUAUUUAUAUAAAUUCCUUAAGUUGGGCCUGAGUUUUCCUGGAGGUAUGAGGAGAUAUGUUUAGAGAAUCUUCUCUCCAGAGAAAGGUCCCUAGAGUUUAGACAGUAAUUUAAGAAGUCCUGGACAGUGUUGCAGCUGAUAGAUAUGUAUGUGUUUCAUAUGAACUGUAAUCAAUGCAGGCUCUUUUUUUAGGGGCAGGCUGACAUGUCCAUCAAGACAUGACAGAAGGGGAAAAAAAAAAGAUUUAGAGAUUUCAAAUUGCUUAUAACUGGGUCACAUUAAUCUGUGAUAGCUAACAAAACAACAAUAGGAACAUAUUGCUAUUGUUAUCAUUCUUCUUCUUCUCUUCUUUUGAUCCAGCCUAUUUAGCUGUACCACGCUUUAGAUUACACUGUACGUGCUCCUACUGAGAGGCUGUGUUUAUCCAGGAGUUUGUGCAGCAGCAGUCCAAGAGCCUUGAUAUGCACAAGGGACUUGAAUUUACUUAGUAAAAUAAAUCAUCAUGUAUACGUCUUUUGGUGGUUUUUUUUGUUUGUUUGGUUUUUUUUGUUUUUUUUUUUUUUUGAAGCAUGCAGUCUACAGUAUUUCAAAUCUAACAAUACCUGUGAUGAAAAGUUAUUGGCACCCCCAUCAUUGUGACUAGGAACUAAUGAAAGCUAGUCUGGAUGUGGAAAGACAAAUUAUUAGGACAAGAUCCAGCCCUGAGAAAACUCUGAAUCAGGUCUGUGAGGUCCUAUCUGAGGUCUCCGUAAGAGAUUUCUUGGCACACAAAACACAGAUUUGGAGGAGGAGUGGGUAGUCUCCAUUUAACAGUAAACAUUUAAAUAUUUUAUGUUGUGUUUUUUGGAACAGGGAUUCAAAGUUCAGUCUCCCAACGCCCAGCCUAGUGUGCAAAACAGCAGUCUCUUGGAAAGUCAUUCUUAACCUCUGUCCGCAGAUGGUUAAUAAUAACACUGGGCACCCUCAUGAAAAGUGUAGAAAUGAGCCAGAAGAUGGAUUUAAAUGCAUAUUCCCCUUACUCACUUACUAGAGUAAGUACUACAGCCAAUAGAUGGCUGGAUUAAACUCUACCUUCACGAGUUUUGUGAGAAAGGACUGGUUUAAGCAUCAAACUUCAACAGGAGACUCAAAUAGCAAUGGAUGGCUUCUUAAUCCUCUUCAGAGUCAGGGAUUAAUCUAUAAGCUUCCCUCCUAAAUAUUGCUGAGUAGUCAGUUUAGGCAGCUCCCUGAUUCUAGUGUUGGUUCUUCAGGAUCCUCAUGUAAGCUCAAACGCUUUGUCCAUACAUGCUAUGGGAAGCUUAGGCAUUUAGUUUAAGGGCUAUGUGUUCUAUUGCUGAUAAAAUGGCUAAAAAUGAAGUCCACCACCUUUUAUGCAAUUUGGGUUACAUGAGUACAUUUCUUAUAUUUCUGGUAGUUAGGAACUGUUGCCGAAGUUCACGGUAGAACUGAUGCUGACUUCAGUGGUGCAAGGCCAAGUCCCAAAGGCACAUUUACUUGAGUUUUCCACUGAAGCAUGUCCUGAGAUGCAAGAACUUUCAUGGAGAUUGUGAAUAAAUGAGCACAACAGACUGCUUAGCGUCUACAGAGUCUAUAGGGCUUAGCCCACACAAAUCACAAAGUAAAGAAAGGGUAAGUGAACCUCACUCAUCAAGUGUUCCUUUGUAAUGAGACAGCUAGUCAAGUCUCCUUUGACUAAAAGCUUUAUUACAGAUUGUGUACUAUCUGUAUGGACCAGAAGGCAGGAAAAGUCUUCUAUUUAGUUUGCUGUGAUUGUUUACUAUAGGAAUCUUUGCUGUUAUCUGCAAUGAUCCCUUCUUGAGGAAGUAAUAGGAGAGUAGGACUGGUGAUCAAAAUUGGUUGUAGUGUAAUAAAUAGAGAAAGACAAAAAAUGACAAAAUAAAAUUAAACAUUUUAUGGAGCCACACUUUAAUUUUGUAAUUAAAAAGCAUCAUUUAAUCAUUAAUCUUGAUUAAAAAAUCAGUUUCCCACAGGCCAGCUUCAUGGGGUAGAACCGUUCAGAGGCCUGAACACAUUUGGUUUAAGUCCAGCAGGCAUAGUACUGCUGUCACCCAACCUGCGACACAGAACAGAGAUCGGUAAAACCUAGGUGAUCUGCUGUGAACUACACUCCCCUGAAGAAGCUUUUAUUUUCCCACAUUACUGGAUCUCUUAUUUUUCUGUCAUCGGGCUGGUGCAUUCCUGCUAUUGGGUGACCAUAACUGGACUGCAAGAAACACAACUAUGGUAUUGGGCCCUAGGUAUAAUAUCAGUAUAUCAUGUUACUGCUGUGCAUCUGUACUAUGGAUUUGAUUGUAGAUAUCCUCAUGGCACUCAUACUGUACACAGCUGGAUAACUUCAAGAGAUGAUGUCUCAUUAUUCACUAGGUAAAACUGCAGUGGGGUUAGCCCUUUCUUGAGCCACACUGCAGUGAACUGAUUAUAAGAAAAGGAUGUGUGAUUUCAGUAUGAUACCUACAAUUCAUUCCUUAACAAGGAAGUUACAGUUUCAGAUGAUUUCACCUACAGUCUGUACAGACCUGUCAAGUCACAUGUGCUGAGUAAAAUGCUCACUCACCCUUUUGGCCCCCACCUCAGCCUGUCCUCAUACAGAGACUGCCUCUGCUUUUGGAGCACACCCCAUGCAUCACAGGCAGCUGACAACUGUUAUCAGCUCUUCCCCCGGGGAACACCCCGCUGUGCAGGUCCUGCCUUAUCACAAGCUUAUCCAGCAUGAUUCCAGUAUCUUGCAAAAUCCCAUUGCAACAUAUUCAACAGCUCCUCUUGCUGCAGUGUUAUUUACCUUCCUCUAAAUAGACACAACUUGCACAUGAGUUGGGAAGUAAAUACAAUCCUGCCUCCAUUUAGUCAACUUUCUGUCUGUCUUGGAAGGUCACUCAUGCCUGAGAGGAGUGUACUGAGAUUAUUACAUUCUGUAAAAUAUUAACCCCAUCUUCUAAGCAUAUGGGGAAAUUCAGUAGAUUUUUUUGCUGAUUCAAAGCAGAAUACUUUUUUUAAUUGUUCUCUCUGUUACUCUCUACCUGCAAAGAAAACUUGACUUAAAUGACAUAUCCUUACUAAUUCAUUCCUAGCUUGUAUUUUCAACAAUUUUUUUCCAUUGCUAAUCUUUCAUAUAUGCAUGGGUGGAGUACUCAUGGCAGCUCAAACCUGUUUAACAAGAAAGAAUCUACUGCAUAAAGGAAGUAUGUAUCUCCAUUACCACAUUUAAAAACUAUAAUUGGUAACAUAUUCUGGAGUUUUAGAUUGAUUUCAAGAACUUUUCGGUAAGUUUUCAUUAUGCUCUUUUAUUUAGAGAAAACUUGUUCGUUGACGCUGAAUAUUUCUGAAGAAGUGUGUCAACUUCCUAAAAUUUUGUCAGGCACAGGAUAUAGUCUCUUAUACUGAGAUUGCUAUGUCAGAUUAAUUUACUGAUCCAAAAUAAGGAUAUUCAACCUUUUCUUGUAUUGCUUAAUUAAUUUCUUCCCUGAUAAUCAUGCAGGUUAGGAGAAAUAUUGAAGUUGUCAUAGCAGUGUGAUAAAAGACAUAGACAGUCCAAACAGCAAUUCAUAUGAUUGGAAAUGCAAACUUUAAUCUUCUUUACUUUGUAUUGUUCAGAUUUUCAGUCAUAAUGAUAGCUGAUAACAUUUUUUGUCAUUGUUUUCCUUUCCUGAAUAUUGCAUAGAAAUAAAUGAACACUCAUUAAAAUAUA